UCUUAGUUUGACUUAACGGCCUCAGUGAGAGGCCCCUACCCAACGUUCUUCUUAUCUUGAGACACAUCGCCCCCCUCCACUUUCUUCCUACUGUGAUCGACAUCCUUUAAGCUUUAAUCCGCGAAUCUGUCGGUUCUACCGCACGAUCCCUGUCCUGUACGGACGCGUGAAGCCGCACAGUCCCCCUGCAGAAUUUGGUCGCUAGUGGAAUCAGUGGACAACCAUCGAAUUUUGCCGGGCCCCUACCAGUGGGUGUUACGGUAUAAGAGGUGUCUUCGUCCGAAGCCACUUCCAUAUCGAAGUGAAAGGCAAGUUUGUCCUACACCAAUCCUUUGAUCAUCCACCUGCAACCUCUGAUCUACAAGCUGGCCAAGGCAGGCCCAUCCCCUGCAAAAAUCAAAGCCUGCAAGCCCGUGACUGCAACCUGCAACUCCUUUUUCUCCAUGCCAACUCUUUCUACAGCUCUAUCAUCCAUUACUACAGAGACUUCCCUUGAAAAAAAGAAAAGAAAAGAGGGAUCAGCUUCCCUCCUCCUCGGCUUCCUCUGGAGUCUAGACGCAAUCACCCGCUCUGCAGGAAGCUUAGACUCUGUCUCCAAUCUUUCAAAAUGGGGAAAGAAGGAAGAGGAUACACAAAAGGGAUCUCCUUGGAACAAGAAGGAAUCGGCACGGGCAGAACAAGAACUUCAAGAAGAAGUGCCGAACAAGAAGAAAUCGCGGAAGCUGGGAGCCUGGGACCGUUGGAGACUCGGAGGACUAGCCGAUUAGGGCGCAGUCGGGGACUCGAGGAGAAAGGGGGAAUGCCGGAUAAGAAGAAGAAAGGGAGGGAAAAAAAAAGGAGUCAGGCUCAGGACCAAUGGGCUGGGCUUGGGCCCGACUCUGACCCUGCCUUCAUCCUCGGGCCCGAAUUAGGGCUGGGCUUCGCCCGAGUUUGGGUUGAAUCCGGAAUCGCAGAAUCGGCCCGAUUCCGCGAUUCAGCCCACGAUUCACCUACGAUUCUGCCUUUUCCGACUCACCCGCCUGAAUCAGAAUCGUAGAACCCCCUUGAAUCGUAGAAUCGUACGAUUCUGCGAUUCGAAUCACGAUUAUGAAAACCAUGGUUUGAAUGAUCAGCAUAUAUUCUUUUAGCUUUACUGUUAGUUGGCCAAGUAAGGAAGUCCUUUUCAUAUCGCAUGUUCCCUUGUCAAUCGCGUAUGUAUUUUCAUAAAUACUUUCCACUACUGUUAUAUCUUAGAUCUACAUUUGUACUUGCAGAACAAUAUUAUAUAGUUAAUGCGAGAUCUCCAAUAUUCCCGAUUA